rnacentral:lncRNA from 1 species
AUGCCCUCGAGCGCCCGGCCCCGGCCACGCACCGGCCCCCCCUGUGCCAUCUGGGGGGACACAGCGGGGGGGGGACACCCCAGCAGAGACCCCAGCAGCUCGGUGCACGCACGGUGCCCAUCCCUGUGGGGCCCUGCUGGUGGUCGGGGUGGCCGGGGGGCACCGGGGCUGUCCCCAGCUCCGCGCCCCCUGCUCUGCGUGACCUUGGCCGCACGGCGCCCCGUGCCUCAGUUUCCCUCGAUGGCUCCCUGUGGUCAUUUGGGGGGGUCAUGUAGGGACGGGGGGGGGGCUCGGGCGAGCCCCUGGGUUGCAGCAAGCCCCGUAAAGCGACUGGGGGGGGAAAGGGGGUGCCCCACGCUGUCCCCAGCCCCGCUCCUGAGGGCUGCCCAGGCUGGGAGCCGGGGGUCCCGGCUGCCCCCGGCGCUCGCCCCCUCUCACCGAGAGGUAUCCUGGGCGGACAGACGGACGGACGGCAGUCCCCACUCGGCCAGCAUCGCCACGUCCAGGCCGGGUCCCCCCCACACGUCCCCCCCCUAUCGUGGAUCCCCCCGGUCACUGGGGGUCCCCAGAGCUGCCGGGUCCCCCCCGCCUGCCCCGGCACCGACAAAAUUCCUGCGUCCGAGCGCCGCGGCCCCCCCGGACCCCAUCUCCAACGGCCUCACCCCGGCUCCAGCGGGACCGGACCGGGGGGGGCCAGGACCCCUGCGGGGGGCACGGCCCCGACCGGGGCAUCCAGCGGGACCGAAACCGGGGGGCCCUGCCCCGAAGCGGGCUGGGGGAGGGGUGGGGGGCAGAGCCCACCCCGGGCUGCAUCGGGACGCAGCAAGGGGGGGUCCGUUUGCUCCCAACCCGGGGACGCGGCUCCCCAGCCGGGGUCCACCAGCACGAACCCGGGGUCCCAGCCCCCGCUGGGGGGCUCCCCCAAGACCCUGCCCGGCCCCCCCCAGCCGCGGGAGCCCCCCCCAGACCCAGCCGCGGGCUCCUUUGGCCGGAGCCGGGCGCAUCCCAGCGGGGCGCGGCGGCACCGCGCGGGUCCGGAGCCGGGUCCCGGCCCCGGGCGGAGCCGGACCGAGCCGUGCCGUGCCCCGGGAGCCGUGCCAGGCUCUUCGGUGCCCCCGGUGCCCGGCGCCUACCCUUGCCCGUAGGAGUCCG